AUCCAGCUGACGAGUCCCAAACAGGACGAAACGCGCGUCAAACUAGAU
rfam:Schistosoma rodhaini strain Burundi genome assembly, scaffold: SROB_scaffold0000167